UAGGGAAUCUUCGGCAAUGGACGAAAGUCUGACCGAGCAACGCCGCGUGAGUGAAGAAGGUUUUCGGAUCGUAAAACUCUGUUGGUAGAGAAGAACGUUGGUGAGAGUGGAAAGCUCAUCAAGUGACGGUAACUACCCAGAAAGGGACGGCUAACUAACGUGCCAGCAGCCGCGGUAAUACGUAGGUCCCGAGCGUUGUCCGGAUUUAUUGGGCGUAAAGCGAGCGCAG
rnacentral:rRNA from 1 species